AUUUGUGAACUGCAGGACACAUGAACACCGACACGUUGAACGCAUAUU
rnacentral:rRNA from 1 species